UUUUCGCGAUACAAGUGUUUUCUUUUCUUUUCUCUUCACCGACGACGCCAUUCUCCGGUGAGAUUCUCUGCUGAGGCGACGAAUCGGUUCACCGUCUCUGACACGACGAGCAACUUUUUGUGAUCAGAACUAACCAAGAAGCUCCCUUCGUCGAUACAAUCGAUAAUUAGAAGAGAUGGGUUCUGCGAACAAAGAGUACGAGUUUCUGAGUGAGAUUGGGUUGAGUUCUCACAACCUCGGAAGUUACGUUGGUGGCAAAUGGCAAGGAAACGGACCCGUUGUCUCUACUCUCAAUCCCGCCAACAAUCAGCCAAUUGCUCAAGUUGUUGAAGCUUCUCUAGAUAAUUACGAGGAAGGUUUGAAAGCUUGCGAGGAUGCAGGUUCCUGCUCCCAAGAGAGGUGGUAUAGUGAGACAAAUUGGAGAUGCACUCAGAUCCAAACUUGACUAUCUUGGCCGUCUUCUUUCACUUGAAAUGGGGAAGAUCCUUGCUGAAGGAAUUGGAGAAGUUCAUGAAGUAAUUGACAUGUGUGAUUUUGCUGUUGGUUUGAGCCGACAACUCAAUGGACAUGGGUUAUCUCUGUUGUGCUUGUUGUGCUUGUUUGUGCGACCGUAGUUAUAUGGACAUGGGAUAGAACUCCAACCUCGGCCUUUCUUCCACCUGAAAGUCACUUUCUAAAGCCAUUACCAUCGUUAUCGUUUUGAUCAUUCUGAAACGUCAAAAUUUGAUAUUUGUGGAUUAUGGUUUUCUUUGAUCAUAUUUCUAGCACAUUCAUUGUUUGUAUACAGUAUACCAUAAUCAUUCUUCCAAAACGCCAAAAAAUAUUAAGUGUUGUAUUUGAAUGUUUUUUUAUCA